GAGUGCUGGGAACAUGAGCUGUGCACUGGUGCAGAAUAUCCUUGUUUACUGUUUAUAGACUGUUAAAUUGUACCAAGGGUUUGUGAUGAGAGAUUUUGCUGCUUUGUGUAACACUGGGUAUAAUAGAAAAGGAAAAUCUGUGAUCUUGUACCCGCCCAGUAAAUUGUUUAUGGGCCAAGUGCUCGAGCAGACAGCAGAGGAAAGUGAAUGCCAAUGUCAGAAACCAUGGUGGAGAUGCCUGAAUGUCUUGCUAUCUAAUAUGCUUAUCACCAUAGCAUCUAGGCUGCAAUGUGCAAAUAAGGCAGAACUAACUACACAGCAAGCAGAGGGUGCUGGUAUGCAACGGGGAUUGUUGCAAGAAUCCAGUCACAAGUCGAUGCUCCGUUCACUUCUGAUCCCUACUCUCCUUGCUUCUCUAAUGCACAGUGCAAACAGGAUCAAUGGCUGUAGGAGGGCUGGUACACAUUUUAACAAGUGGCGUCUUGGGUUCCUUAGAGACAUGAAGACUCUGCAUCAUUUUAUGCUCUGGGCUUCUUCUCCUGUGGAGGGUGUAGUGCUCUGCCGCUUCCCUGAUGUCAUGUCUGCCCCUUUGGCCUUGAAGCCAUCCUGCUAUGGACUCAGACACUGCGAGUCAAAUCCUGCUUGCGUCUACAUCAACGUAAACUGGGAGUUACUUCAGUGGCAUUAACCCUGAUAUAAAGGUGAUGGGACUGAGAGGAGAAUCCAGCCCACUGGAUCUAAACGCUGUGAUUUGUUCUAUGUUGUACAAGCUGCUUCUCAUGAAUAUUUCUGUGGGUUUUGGCCAUUUGCACAUGUUUCUGCAAAAGGUUGUGAUUAGGGUUUUGUGACUUUUCAAAAUUAAUUGCCACUAGCUGGGUGUCUUGCUGAACUAAAGUUCAGUAGGUUCAUUAGCUAAUUCCCUAAAGGGCUUGGUAUGCUUCUUAGACAGAUGUGCUGAUUGGUAGACGGUCAAUUUUUUCCAAUUAUUCCCUUACCUGCUGUUCAUCAACACCUCCUCUGACACGGUCUUCACUACUCCUGUGCUUUAUUUUUCCUGUUAAGGAACAACUUUGACAAAGCCUCUUGCAGCAUUUGGCCUCAGAGUGGUUGAGGACCAAUCCAUGCCCUGCUAAGUAAAAGCUCAUGGGAGAUCUACCCAGACUGGAACUGUUCGCUUCAGGAGCUUCUGACAGAGUGUUCCAGCAAGGAGCAGAAUCUGGAAUGGAGCCAGGAAUUUGACUCCCUGACCUAACUUGCAGUCAACACUGCUCAUUGGUCAUUAUUACUGUGGAGGAACAGAGCGGCCCUCCAAUCCCACAGGUAUCCAAAGAUCUGCAGAAAAAUCCCAUAUCUCUCAGGCCACCAAUCUGGGAUUGGAAAAUCCAUGCAGAGGACCCAUCCCCCUGUGUUGGUCCUUAUUUGCCUCCUCCUCUGGCAGCAUAGCUCCCUUAGGAGCCACAUUUGCAUUGCCCCUCACCCAGGAGUGUACAUACCCACCCCAUCAGAGGGGGUAGAAGGCAUGGAGUAGGUUUGCAAGGAAGUAAGGGCUGCCAGUGUCAGCAAUGGGUGAAGAAGUGCACAGGUACUGCCCUGGGAUGGCAGGGAGGGGGAUGAUACCAUAUACAGCAGCUCCAUCCCCCUUGGAACUCAUUGCUCCCAUAAAGGAGCUCCCCCCGCCUCACGGGGGAGAUGCUGCUGCUCCAGUUUCUCUCCCCGUGUUACAUAAUCACAGUCAAUCUUGGCCGUUACCUAGACCCGUUUCAUCCUUCCAGGGGCUAAACGUAGAGGGGAUGAUUCAGCUUUAAGAUUUCUACUGAUCUGUAAAAAUCCAUGUUAUGCUGGGCUUUUUAUUCCAAGCACAGAAAACUGUGUGUGGUGAUCUGUAGUGUGUUUCCCAAUGGAAGAACCACCCCCUGAGAAGGGAUUCCUCACUAAGCUGAGACCUGGCUCAUUUUGGACAAACUUGAAUCCACUUACCCCUUCCAGGGAGGUCAGAACUAAGCUCCAGUUGGGUUUGCUCUAGUGAGGAAAAGUGAGAUUCUAAAUAUUUAAUUUCUAGUGUCAUCACACAACACAUGAAAAGUGAGUGUCUGGCUUGGUGGUUGGGGGGGGGGGAGGGCUGUGGUAGGGAACCUUCCACUUCCAGUUUGUGUCCAGUCAAGGUCAGUUAAAGUCUAAAUAUAUUAAUAGAGAUAAAGAGGAAGCAGGGAUGGGAAAGAGAUCAGAGAAGCACUUGCAUGUGAGAUGGGGCGGGGGAGCUGUGUUGUGACAUUUUUGUUAAGUUAUAGGACACAUGGUAUGUAGGGACUUGUACUACUACAAAUAUGGGGCCACCUUAAGGACCCACCAUACUCAAACCAAAAGCAUGGCAGGGACUGUGGAAACAGCAGCCCGAGUUUGUUACUGUCUGUAGCAUCUGCCAUGCUGGUGAGUUAGUCCCUACAAUCACAUGCAGCAGUCUGUAAUCACAUGUGUACACAGCUAAACCAAGCCACAUAUAGGGGGCAUAAGGGAACUGAAUUCACAUCCUACAGACCUUUGGCUAUAAAACCCUAUUCUGUAAAUGCCACUAGAGCUAGUGGAGCGAGGUAGGUGGGAUGGAGGUCAGUGACCUUUCCACACAAGCCAUAGCCUGCAGAUGUUACUAAAAAGAGGCCAGGGAGGAAUAAGCAGAGGAAGAGCAAAUGCAGAAAGCAUCACACACAGAUCCUAUUUUGCAGGUGCAAUUAGAUGCCCCUC